AGGAUAAUAGUUAAAUUAACGUUUAAGUUGCAUUUAAAAAAUACUGUAAAGUUUAUCUUU
rnacentral:tRNA from 1 species